UGGUCUGAUGGGAUAGGGAAGUGGCAGAGGCAAGUCUUGCUGCCGCACUUACUUUCAUGAUGUCAUAGGACACAGAAUUGUCACAUGCUGAGAGGAUUCUGACAACUUUAACCUUAUCAACAAAAGCUAGUACUGCCAGCAUUGUCUCCACUCAUUUUAAUGCUGUUUCAGUUGAAGGAUAUAGAAAGCACAGCUGAGAACAAGACACUCUACUUUUAUUGAAUUACAUAAAGGAGAGAAAAAGACUACAAACUGCAGACUUCAUGAAACAGCAGAAACACGAACAGAGCUGAAGUGAUGGUAAGCUGGAAAGAAGAUGCAAUGAGCUGGAAAGAAGGAACAUAAGGAUAAAAGUGACAAGAAAUAUGCCACAUUAGACUAAUGAUACUGAGA